rnacentral:rRNA from 1 species
AGAGUUCGAUCCUGGCUCAGGAUGAACGCUGGCGGCGCGCCUAACACAUGCAAGUCGAACGAUUAAAGCACCUUCGGGUGUGUAUAAAGUGGCGAACGGCUGAGUAACACGUGGGCAACCUGCCCCUCUCAUUGGGAUAGCCACGGGAAACCGUGGAUAAUACCGAAUACUUCGAGACUUCCGCAUGGAAGACUCGAGAAAGCUCCGGCGGAGAGGGAUGGGCCCGCGGCCUGUUAGCUUGUUGGUGGGGUAACGGCCUACCAAGGCAAUGAUGGGUAGCUGGGUUGAGAGACCGACCAGCCAGAUUGGGACUGAGACACGGCCCAGACUCCUACGGGAGGCAGCAGUGGGGAAUCUUGCACAAUGGGCGAAAGCCUGAUGCAGCGACGCCGCGUGCGGGAUGAAGGCCUUCGGGUUGUAAACCGCUUUCAGCAGGGACGAGGCGAAAGUGACGGUACCUGCAGAAGAAGCCCCGGCUAACUACGUGCCAGCAGCCGCGGUAAUACGUAGGGGGCAAGCGUUAUCCGGAUUCAUUGGGCGUAAAGCGCUCGUAGGCGGUCUGUUAGGUCGGGAGUUAAAUCCGGGGGCUCAACCCCCGUUCGCUCCCGAUACCGGCAGACUUGAGUUUGGUAGGGGAAGGUGGAAUUCCUAGUGUAGCGGUGGAAUGCGCAGAUAUUAGGAAGAACACCAGUGGCGAAGGCGGCCUUCUGGGCCAUAACUGACGCUGAGGAGCGAAAGCUAGGGGAGCAAACAGGAUUAGAUACCCUGGUAGUCCUAGCCGUAAACGAUGGACACUAGGUGUGGGGGAAUAUUUCUUCCGUGCCGCAGCUAACGCAUUAAGUGUCCCGCCUGGGGAGUACGGCCGCAAGGCUAAAACUCAAAGGAAUUGACGGGGGCC